rnacentral:lncRNA from 7 species
GAAGGCGGCGGGCGGAGGAGCGGCGCUUCCGGCGCGCUGCUUGGCCCCGGGGCCGGGCUCGCUCCGCGGGGUGAGCGAGGCGGCGUUCUGUCGGCAUGUGGGCGUGCGGGAGGUCGGUGUGGGGAUCCCGCUGCUGGUGCUGGCAGAUGGAAGCACAGACAUGAAUUUAAGAGCUUCGAUGCAUUCAGGUGUUUAAUUCAGAUUUGGUAAAUGACAUGGAAUAAGAUACUGCCUGAACAAGCUGAAAUGCCUUGAAGACCUUUGGUUCUG